rnacentral:lncRNA from 1 species
AUGCUGUCGGAGCUCAGGGGAGAGGCUGGCAGAGGCAGUACCUGCCACAUCAGUCCACAGGUAACCAACUGUCCAAGUCUACUUGAGACCAAAGGAUUUCCCAGGACACAAGAUAGGCAUAUAUGUGUGCGCGCGCACACACACGUAUGUCCAGCAUUCUUCUCGCUCCAGUAGACUACAGCCUCCUUCAAGGAAGGAUCUCUUUGUUCUUCUGUAUCAGCUGCCGCAUUGAAGGUACAAUAAAUGUUUGCUGAUGCCGGGCGCAGUGGCUCAAGCUUGUAAUCUCAGCACUUUGGGAGGCUGAGGAAGGCGGAUCACAAGGUCAGGAGAUUGAGACCAUCUUGGAUAACAAGGUGAAACCCCGUGUCUACUAAAAAUACAAAAAAUUAGCUGGGCGUGUUGGUGGAUGCCUAUAAUCUCAUCUACCCAGGAGGGUAAGGCAGGAGAAUCACUUGAACCUGGGAGGCAGAGAUUGCAGUGAGCCCAGAUCGCACCACUGCACUCCAGCCUGGGCGACAAGAGUGAGACUGUCACAAAAAAAAAAAGAAAGAAAGAAAGAAAGAAAGGUGGCUCACGCCUGUAAUCCUAGCACUUUGGGAGACUGAGGUGGGUGGAUCACCUGAGGUCAGGAGUUCAAGACCAGCCUGGCCAUCAUGGUGAAACCCCAUCUUAAAACAAAAAACAAAACAAAACAAAAAGGCCGGGCGCGGUGGCUCACACCUGUAAUCCCAGCACUUUGGGAGGCUGAGGCGGGUGGAUCACGAGGUCAAGAGAUCGAGAUCAUCCUGGUCAACAUGGUGAAACUCCGUCUCUACUAAAAAUACAAAAAUUAACUGGGCAUGGUGGCUCGCACCUGUAGUCCCAGCUACUCGAGAGGCUGAGGCAGGAGAACUGCUUGAACCCAAGAGGUGGAGGUUGCAGUGAGCCAAGAUUGCGCCAUUGAACUCCAGCCUGGGUAACAAGAGUGAAACUUAGUUUCAAAAAAAAAAAAAAAAAAAAAAGAAAGAAAGAAGGAAAGAAAGAAAAGAAAAAAAGUGUGUGUUAUUUUUUUUGACCUAUGAACUGAACUAGACCUUUUCUUCGUUGGAUCUCAUUUCUUUUUUUUUAAUUUGAAAGAAUAACUGACAAACUCUGGUUGUUCAAACUUGGAUGUUUUGCAGAUACUUUGUUGAAAAUGAACAAACUGAGCCUGUCACUUCAAUAAAAAACAACUGAUAGUAUUUGUGGCCAAUUAUGAAGUUUCAGUUUUAAAGCAGAAUUAGAACUUUGCAAAACUUG